rnacentral:sRNA from 15 species
UUUCUGACAUUUUUACGUUAUUUUUGUCAUUUUUGAAACAUGACAAAAUGAUCGCAUGCGAGUGAAUUUUCUAACAUGGAAAGAGCGCUGAAUAGCGAUACAUUUGCUCUGUUCUGAAUGGAGGGGAGGAGCGCUGAAUCUGCAAAUGUAAAAUGACAUGCGCGUCGCCAGGUGGAGCAAGUCGGACAUGACAUGUAGGAAGGAUGGUAGGUUCCGGCCGUAUAUAUUGAGGUGUUCAACCUGGUCGCUUCCCUUUUUCCAGUCUUCGGGUCCCAGAGAUGAGAUAGUUUUGAUGUCGAGACAAGUUUGGGCGAUUGGGCGCUGUGCUGCCUUUUCUGCAAUCAGGCGAUCGUGAAUGUCCAGGUGGUCGAUUCCUAGGACAGUGCUUUUGUUGGGAUUGACCGCAGCGCCCUGUAAUACAGAGCAGAGCCUGUCGCUGUGUCUUUUCCAUAAGCUUAUGGUGACAGGCCCCAUGUCUUGCUGAUCAUCUUCUUGCAUGCAUAAAGCGCAAUGGUGGCCUUCUUCACCCUUUCCACUAUAUUGGGUCUCCAUGCCAGCUUGCUGUCCAGUACUGUGCCAAUAAAUGGGUGGGAAAACUAAUUAAUCACAAUUAAGAACCUUAUCGACUGCAUGUGCAUGUACACCAAACCCUAUCUGCCUGCAAUUCAGAAACCGGAAUUUCAAUACAAAAUGUAUCUAAAAUUUUAA